UACAGAGGUCCCAAGCGUUGUUCGGAUUCACUGGGCGUAAAGGGUGCGUAGGUGGUGAGGAAAGUCGGAUGUGAAAUCUCCGGGCUUAACCCGGAAACUGCAUUGGAAACUACCUUGCUAGAGGUUUUGAGGGGGGACUGGAAUUCUCGGUGUAGCAGUGAAAUGCGUAGAUAUCUGGAGGAACACCGGUGGCGAAGGCGGCAUCCUGGACCAAUAUUGACGCUGAGGAGCGAAAGCCAGGGGAGCAAACGGG
rnacentral:rRNA from 1 species